AUUGAACGCUGGCGGCAUGCCUUACACAUGCAAGUCGAACGGUAACAGGUUAAGCUGACGAGUGGCGAACGGGUGAGUAAUGUAUCGGAACGUGCCCAGUCGUGGGGGAUAACUGCUCGAAAGAGCAGCUAAUACCGCAUACGACCUGAGGGUGAAGGCGGGGGAUCGCAAGACCUCGCGCGAUUGGAGCGGCCGAUAUCAGAUUAGGUAGUUGGUGAGGUAAAGGCUCACCAAGCCGACGAUCUGUAGCUGGUCUGAGAGGACGACCAGCCACACUGGGACUGAGACACGGCCCAGACUCCUACGGGAGGCAGCAGUGGGGAAUUUUGGACAAAGGGCGCAAGCCUGAUCCAGCCAUGCCGCGUGCGGGAAGAAGGCCUUCGGGUUGUAAACCGCUUUUGUCAGGGAAGAAAAGGUUCUGGCUAAUACCUGGGACUCAUGACGGUACCUGAAGAAUAAGCACCGGCUAACUACGUG
rnacentral:rRNA from 1 species